AUUGAUACACCAUGUCCCACUUGUCAUCUGGCAUGCACCCUAGUGACUUUAGUGGACAUCUAAGUCUUCCAACUAAGGCACGCGGUGAAUGCCACGUGGCCAUGAUGGGGCUCCCAUUGAAUUU
rnacentral:precursor_RNA from 15 species